GUGUCAGCCGCCGCGGUAAUACGGAGGAUCCGAGCGUUAUCCGGAUUUAUUGGGUUUAAAGGGUGCGUAGGCGGAUUGUUAAGUCAGCGGUGAAAUUUUGCAGCUUAACUGUAAAAUUGCCGUUGAAACUGAUGAUCUUGAGGAUAGUUGAGGUAAGUGGAAUGUGUUGUGUAGCGGUGAAAUGCAUAGAUAUAACACAGAACACCGAUUGCGAAGGCAGCUUACUAGACUAUAACUGACGCUGAGGUACGAAAGCGUGGGGAUCAAACAGGAUUAGAUACCCUGGUAGUCCACGCUGUAAACGAUGAAUACUAGCUGUAUGCGAUAUACAGUAUGCGGCGGAGCGAAAGCAUUAAGUAUUCCACCUGGGGAGUACGUUCGCAAGAAUGAAACUCAAAUAAAUUGACGG
rnacentral:rRNA from 1 species